rnacentral:rRNA from 1 species
UACAGAGGGUGCAAGCGUUGUUCGGAAUUACUGGGCGUAAAGCGCGUGUAGGCUGCGAUGUAAGUCAGGUGUGAAAGCCCUCAGCUUAACUGAGGAAGUGCACUUGAUACUGUGUCGCUUGAGUGUCGGAGGGGGUGGCGGAAUUCCCGGUGUAGAGGUGAAAUUCGUAGAUAUCGGGAGGAACACCGAUGGCGAAGGCAGCCCCCUGGGUCAAGACGUGACGCUCAUGCACGAAAGCGUGGGGAGCAAACAGG